AUAAAAGUAAUGUUCGUAAGCAAUAAAACUUGCACGGUUGUAUGUCUAUGAAUUAUGUGUUUUUAAUGUUUGUCUACCCCUUCUGAUCUGUCUUUUAAGAUCAGAAGUGGGAUAGCCACGCGUUCUUUACCGUUUCGUUUGCCGUCUAAAUUCAGUAAUUAUUUGUUCUGUUAUUGAAAUUACAUCUCAACCGUAAAUAAGUUUUAUUCUUACGCUCGAGAGUAUUCUGAAGAAAAAGUAUGAACUAGUUAUAGUUCCGAUACCGUUGCGAUUCUAUGAAUGAUCCCUAUGUACUGUGACACAACCACGAUAUAACCGACAGCACAUUGGAAGCCACAACAUCAACAUUAUGGCAAAGAACUCGUCGAAGUCUUGACUAGAAAUUGCAAGAGGAAAAGUGACAGCUGCUGUGUCUUGUUUGUAAAACAAAAAGCGAUCGAAUACUGGAGAUACUGAAGAUAGCCCACCAGCUGGAACUGCCUCAGAUGAGUAAAGCACUGAAGCUCGAAGACAGUGGCUCUGAAAAGCCGUGUUGAAGUUUUACAAGUUGCAGAUAAUAAAUUUAUGACCAAUAUUUUAUGAUUUGGACAGUUUUGGAUUAUGAAUUUUGCAGAUAGGGCUGAAACUUUUCAACUUAUCAUAAUAUGAGGUAUAAGUAUGUCUGGCGUUGAGAAGGAAAGAAGAAGCGCUGUAUCGUGUCGCUACCUUUUACCACGCUUUUAGAAAAUGACUUCAACAAAAAGCCCUAAAACUGCCAACUGUUAAAACAAAUUGAAUAUUCUGUGCGAUGCAUGAUUUGCUGUACUAAAAAUUUUGUUGAAAGAAGAGUAUGGGUGUUGUUUUCAUUAUUCUUGGAUACAUUUUAAGAAAUAAUGGGAAAUA